rnacentral:tRNA from 1 species
UGCCUUACAAGCAGAAUGUCGGCGGUUCGAUCCCGUCAGCGCCCACCA